AGCAGCGUGGCUUAGUGACAAGAGCACAGGCUUGGGAAUCAGAGGAUGUGGGUUCCAAUCCCACCUUUGCCA
rnacentral:tRNA from 1 species